UACGUAGGGGGGCAAGCGUUGUCCGGAUUCAUUGGGCGUAAAGAGCGUGUAGGCGGCCAGGUAGGUCGGUUGUGAAAACUGGAGGCUCAACCUUCAGAGGUCGACCGAAACCAUCUGGCUAGAGUCCGGGAGAGGAGAGUGGAAUUCCGUGGUGUAGCGGUGAAAUGCGCAGAUAUCAGGAAGAACACCCGUGGCGAAAGCGGCUCUCUGGAACGGUACUGACGCUGAGACGCGAAAGCGUGGGGAGCGAACAGG
rnacentral:rRNA from 1 species